CCUACGGGAGGCAGCAGUAGGGAAUAUUGCUCAAUGGGGGAAACUCUGAAGCAGCAACGCCGCGUGGAGGAUGAAGGUUUUCGGAUUGUAAACUCCUUUUGUUAGAGAAGAUAAUGACGGUAUCUAACGAAUAAGCACCGGCUAACUCCGUGCCAGCAGCCGCGGUAAUACGGAGGGUGCAAGCGUUACUCGGAAUCACUGGGCGUAAAGAGCGAGUAGGUGGGAGAGCAAGUCAGAUGUGAAAUCCUAUGGCUUAACCAUAGAAUUGCAUUUGAAACUGUUAUUCUAGAGUAUGGGAGAGGUAGGUGGAAUUCUUGGUGUAGGGGUAAAAUCCGUAGAGAUCAAGAGGAAUACUCAUUGCGAAGGCGACCUGCUAGAACAUAACUGACGCUGAUGCGCGAAAGCGUGGGGAGCAAACAGGAUUAGAUACCCCUGUAGUC
rnacentral:rRNA from 1 species